AGGAUGAACGCUAGCGGCAGGCUUAAUACAUGCAAGUCGAGGGGCAGCACAGGUAGCAAUACUGGGUGGCGACCGGCAAACGGGUGCGGAACACGUACGCAACCUUCCUUUAAGCGGAGAAUAGCCCAGGGAAACUUGGAUUAAUACUCCAUAAGAUUAUGGUGUGGCAUCACACAGUAAUUAAAGCUCCGGCACUUAAAGAUGGGCGUGCGGCUGAUUAGGUAGUUGGCGGGGUAACGGCCCACCAAGCCAACGAUCAGUAACUGGUGUGAGAGCACGACCAGUCACACGGGCACUGAGACACGGGCCCGACUCCUACGGGAGGCAGCAGUAAGGAAUAUUGGUCAAUGGACGCAAGUCUGAACCAGCCAUGCCGCGUGGAGGAUGAAGGCCCUCUGGGUUGUAAACUUCUUUUAUUUGGGAAGAAACCCAUCUUUUCUAAGGUGGUUGACGGUACCAGAUGAAUAAGCACCGGCUAACUCCGUGCCAGCAGCCGCGGUAAUACGGAGGGUGCAAGCGUUGUUCGGAAUUACUGGGCGUAAAGCGCGUGUAGGUGGCUUGUCAUGUCAGGUGUGAAAGCCCUCGGCCUAACCGAGGAAGUGCGCCUGAAACUGACGAGCUUGAGUACGAGAGAGGAGGACGGAAUUCCCAGUGUAGAGGUGAAAUUCGUAGAUAUCAAGAGGAACACCGGUGGCGAAGGCGGCUUCCUGGAAGAUACCUGACUCUGAAACACGAAAGCUAGGGGAGCGAAUGGGAUUAGAUACCCCAGUAGUCCUAGCUGUAAACGGUGUGCAUUAGGCGCUAGCGGAUUCGACCCCGCUGGUGCCGUAGAUAACUCGAUAAAUGCACCGCCUGAGGAGUACGGUCGCAAGAUUAAAACUCAAAGAAAUUGACGGGGGCCCGCACAAGCGGUGGAGUAUGUGGCUUAAUUCGAUGCAACGCGAAGAACCUUACCUGGCCUUGACAUGCAUUGUUCAAGCGGUGAAAGCCGCUGGGUCGCAAGACCGAAUUGCACAGGUGCUGCAUGGCUGUCGUCAGCUCGUGUCGUGAGAUGUUGGGUUAAGUCCCGCAACGAGCGCAACCCCUAUGAACUGUUGCCGAAAGGAUCUCUGUUCAGACUGCCCUGUUUAACGGGGAGGAAGGUGGGGAUGACGUCAAGUCAGUAUGGCCCUUACGGCCAGGGCUGCACACGUACUACAAUGCCCAGUACAGAAGGAAGCAAGACCGCGAGGUGGAGCAAAUCCCCAAAACUGGGCCCAGUUCGGAUUGGAGGCUGCAACUCGCCUCCAUGAAGUUGGAAUCGCUAGUAAUGGCGCAUCAGCUACGGCGCCGUGAAUACGUUCCCGGGCCUUGUACACACCGCCCGUCACAUCAUGAAAGCCUAUUGUACCCGAAGUCGGUUUCCGCCUAAGGUAUGGUCGGUGAUUGGGAUGAAGUCGUAACAAGGUAAC
rnacentral:rRNA from 1 species